AACGAACGCUGGCGGCAUGCCUAACACAUGCAAGUCGAACGAGACCUUCGGGUCUAGUGGCGCACGGGUGCGUAACGCGUGGGAACCUGCCCUUAGGUUCGGAAUAACUCCCCGAAAGGGGUGCUAAUACCGGAUAAUGUCUUCGGACCAAAGAUUUAUCGCCUUUGGAUGGGCCCGCGUUGGAUUAGCUAGUUGGUAGGGUAAAAGCCUACCAAGGCGACGAUCCAUAGCUGGUCUGAGAGGAUGAUCAGCCACACUGGGACUGAGACACGGCCCAGACUCCUACGGGAGGCAGCAGUGGGGAAUAUUGGACAAUGGGCGAAAGCCUGAUCCAGCAAUGCCGCGUGAGUGAUGAAGGCCUUAGGGUGGUAAAGCUCUUUUACCCGGGAUGAUAAGGACAGUACCGGGAGAAUAAGCUCCGGCUAACUCCGG
rnacentral:rRNA from 1 species